GGGCGGGUGGUGGAAUGGUAUACACGCAGGACUUAAAAUCCUGUGGCCGCAAGGCCGUGAGGGUUCAAGUCCCUCCCCGCCCA
rnacentral:tRNA from 1 species